ACGCUAGCUACAGGCUUAACACAUGCAAGUCGAGGGGCAGCAUGGAAGAAGCUUGCUUCUUCUGAUGGCGACCGGCGCACGGGUGCGUAACGCGUAUCAAACCUGCCUCAUACUCGGGGAUAGCCUUGCGAAAGUAAGAUUAAUACCCGAUGUUGUUAUGUUGCCGCAUGGUGAUAUAACCAAAGAUUUAUCGGUAUGAGAUGGUGAUGCGUCCGAUUAGGUAGUAGGCGGGGUAACGGCCCACCUAGCCUUCGAUCGGUAGGGGUUCUGAGAGGAAGGUCCCCCACACUGGAACUGAGACACGGUCCAGACUCCUACGGGAGGCAGCAGUGAGGAAUAUUGGUCAAUGGACGGAAGUCUGAACCAGCCAAGUAGCGUGCAGGAUGACGGCCCUCCGGGUUGUAAACUGCUUUUAGUUGGGAAUAAAAAAGAGGACGUGUCCUCUAUUGUAUGUACCUUCAGAAAAAGGACCGGCUAAUUCCGUGCCAGCAGCCGCGGUAAUACGGAAGGUCCAGGCGUUAUCCGGAUUUAUUGGGUUUAAAGGGAGCGUAGGCGGAUUAUUAAGUCAGUGGUGAAAGACGGUGGCUCAACCAUCGUUAGCCAUUGAAACUGGUAGUCUUGAGUGCAGACAGGGAUGCUGGAACUCGUGGUGUAGCGGUGAAAUGCUUAGAUAUCACGAUGAACUCCGAUCGCGAAGGCAGGUGUCCGGGCUGCAACUGACGCUGAGGCUCGAAAGUGUGGGUAUCAAACAGGAUUAGAUACCCUGGUAGUCCACACAGUAAACGAUGUAUACUCGCGGUUUGCGAUACAAUGUAAGCCGCCAAGCGAAAGCAUUAAGUAUACCACCUGGGGAGUACGCCGGCAACGGUGAAACUCAAAGGAAUUGACGGGGGCCCGCACAAGCGGAGGAACAUGUGGUUU
rnacentral:rRNA from 1 species